rnacentral:rRNA from 1 species
ACGCUCGACACCUACGGGGGCAGCAGUAGGGAAUCUUCCACAAUGGGCGCAAGCCUGAUGGAGCAACACCGCGUGAGUGAAGAAGGGUUUCGGCUCGUAAAGCUCUGUUGUUGGAGAAGAACGUGCGUGAGAGUAACUGUUCACGCAGUGACGGUAUCCAACCAGAAAGUCACGGCUAACUACGUGCCAGCAGCCGCGGUAAUCUGAGCGGGCUGGCAAGGC